GACGAACGCUGGCGGCGUGCUUAACACAUGCAAGUCGAGCGACUGCAUUCUUUUCGGAGGGUGUAUGGAGCGGCGAACGGGUGAGUAACACGUGAGUAAUCUGCCUUUGGCUUGGGAAUAACUUCGGGAAAUCGGGGCUAAUGCCUGAUGUUUACUGUCUGCUGCAUGGUGGGUGGUGGAAAGUAUUUUUUGGCCGAGGGAUGAGCUCGCGGUCUAUCAGCUUGNGGUGGGGUAAUGGCUUACCAAGGCUUUGACGGGUAGCCGGCCUGAGAGGGUGUUCGGCCACACUGGGACUGAGACACGGCCCAGACUCCUACGGGAGGCAGCAGGUGGGGAAUAUUGCGCAAGUGGGCGUAAGCCUGACGCAGCGACGCCGCGGUGGGGAU
rnacentral:rRNA from 1 species